AAAUUGAAGAGUUUGAUCAUGGCUCAGAUUGAACGCUGGCGGCAGGCCUAACACAUGCAAGUCGAACGGUAACAGGAAGCAGCUUGCUGUUUCGCUGACGAGUGGCGGACGGGUGAGUAAUGUCUGGGAAACUGCCUGAUGGAGGGGGAUAACUACUGGAAACGGUAGCUAAUACCGCAUAACGUCGCAAGACCAAAGAGGGGGACCUUCGGGCCUCUUGCCAUCGGAUGUGCCCAGAUGGGAUUAGCUAGUAGGUGGGGUAACGGCUCACCUAGGCGACGAUCCCUAGCUGGUCUGAGAGG
rnacentral:rRNA from 1 species